AGACUCUUAAUCAAGUUCAAUCUAUGUGCUCUUCAUAUUUUUGAGUUCAUAUUUAGAUCUAAUUUAUACGAAUUGAGUUUUUAUAAAUCCUAAUAUGAAUUGUAUCGUAUCAAAACACAUUCCAUAAUAAUACUUUGAUGAUCCUUUUCUCGCUUCCUAAACAAAUAGUUCUUGAGGAAAUCAGUAUCAAUGAAUCUUGAGCCCUUUGAAGAAUUUGUUGUAAACCAUUAAAAUUCUCGAAAAUGACCAAUGAAAGCGCAUAUCCUAGUACUUUCGAAUUUCUUCGGAGCACUUUCCAUUUUAUAUUUCACAUUUCCCAUCAGGUGUUUCACGCAUGUGGGUCCCGAUGUGUAAUACAAUUUAUACCACCCACAAGAUCGUGAGUGGGGAAUCCAACAGAGAUCUCGUUUGGUUUGGGUUUAGAUCUUGAAUGCAUAAUCGACACGUGAUUUCAUCGUAAGAGCAUCACCGUCAACAUCAUGGAAAGCGGAAACACCUUUAUCAUUUUUAACACCUUCCGAUUUGACCUUUUUUUCCCCAAGCGGCGUGACGUGUGCUAUUUGAAAUUCGACCACCUCUUUGGCUGAUUGGCUCUUACUUUCAAGUCCUUUGUGCUUGUGAUUACAUUUGUGAGAGCUUUGCUGCCACGCAUUACCGAGAAAAUGUUAAAUAAACUAAUCCAAAAAAAUAAAA
rnacentral:lncRNA from 1 species